GGGUUGUGAGGUUAAGCGACUAAGCGUACACGGUGGAUGCCCUGGCAGUCAGAGGCGAUGAAGGGCGUGCUAAUCUGCGAUAAGCGCCGGUAAGGUGAUAUGAACCGUUAUAACCGGCGAUACCCGAAUGGGGAAACCCAGUGUGAUUCGUCACACUAUCAUUACGUGAAUACAUAGCGUAAUGAAGCGAACCGGGGGAACUGAAACAUCUAAGUACCCCGAGGAAAAGAAAUCAACCGAGAUUCCCCCAGUAGCGGCGAGCGAACGGGGAGGAGCCCAGAGCCUGAAUCAGCAUGUGUGUUAGUGGAAGCGUCUGGAAAGGCGCGCGAUACAGGGUGACAGCCCCGUACACAAAAGCGCAUGUGUUGUGAGCUCGAUGAGUAGGGCGGGACACGUGGUAUCCUGUCUGAAUAUGGGGGGACCAUCCUCCAAGGCUAAAUACUCCUGACUGACCGAUAGUGAACCAGUACCGUGAGGGAAAGGCGAAAAGAACCCCGGCGAGGGGAGUGAAAAAGAACCUGAAACCGUGUACGUACAAGCAGUGGGAGCACCCUUUGGGGUGUGACUGCGUACCUUUUGUAUAAUGGGUCAGCGACUUAUAUUCUGUAGCAAGGUUAACCGAAUAGGGGAGCCGGAGGGAAACCGAGUCUUAAUUGGGCGUUAAGUUGCAGGGUAUAGACCCGAAACCCGGUGAUCUAGCCAUGGGCAGGUUGAAGGUUGGGUAACACUAACUGGAGGACCGAACCGACUAAUGUUGAAAAAUUAGCGGAUGACCUGUGGCUGGGGGUGAAAGGCCAAUCAAACCGGGAGAUAGCUGGUUCUCCCCGAAAGCUAUUUAGGUAGCGCCUCGUGAACUCAUCUCCGGGGGUAGAGCACUGUUUCGGCUAGGGGGCCAUCCCGGCUUACCAACCCGAUGCAAACUGCGAAUACCGGAGAAUGUUAUCACGGGAGACACACGGCGGGUGCUAACGUCCGUCGUGAAGAGGGAAACAACCCAGACCGCCAGCUAAGGUCCCAAAGUCAUAGUUAAGUGGGAAACGAUGUGGGAAGGCCCAGACAGCCAGGAUGUUGGCUUAGAAGCAGCCAUCAUUUAAAGAAAGCGUAAUAGCUCACUGGUCGAGUCGGCCUGCGCGGAAGAUGUAACGGGGCUAAACUAUGCACCGAAGCUGCGGCAGCGACACUAUGUGUUGUUGGGUAGGGGAGCGUUCUGUAAGCCUGUGAAGGUGUGUCGUGAGGCAUGCUGGAGGUAUCAGAAGUGCGAAUGCUGACAUAAGUAACGAUAAAGCGGGUGAAAAGCCCGCUCGCCGGAAGACCAAGGGUUCCUGUCCAACGUUAAUCGGGGCAGGGUGAGUCGACCCCUAAGGCGAGGCCGAAAGGCGUAGUCGAUGGGAAACGGGUUAAUAUUCCCGUACUUGGUGUUACUGCGAAGGGGGGACGGAGAAGGCUAUGUUGGCCGGGCGACGGUUGUCCCGGUUUAAGCGUGUAGGUGUGUGUUCCAGGUAAAUCCGGUUCACUUUAACACUGAGGCGUGACGACGAGGCACUACGGUGCUGAAGCAACAAAUGCCCUGCUUCCAGGAAAAGCCUCUAAGCAUCAGGUAACAU
rnacentral:rRNA from 1 species